rnacentral:rRNA from 1 species
UUUUGGACAAUGGGGGCAACCCUGAUCCAGCAAUGCCGCGUGAGUGAAGAAGGCCUUCGGGUUGUAAAGCUCUUUUGUCAGGGAAGAAACGGUGGGGGCUAAUAUCCUCUGCUAAUGACGGUACCUGAAGAAUAAGCACCGGCUAACUACGUGCCAGCAGCCGCGGUAAUACGUAGGGUGCAAGCGUUAAUCGGAAUUACUGGGCGUAAAGCGUGCGCAGGCGGUUGUGCAAGACAGAUGUGAAAUCCCCGGGCUCAACCUGGGAAUUGCAUUUGUGACUGCACGGCUAGAGUGUGUCAGAGGGGGGUAGAAUUCCACGUGUAGCAGUGAAAUGCGUAGUUAUGUGGAGGAAUACCGAUGGCGAAGGCAGCCCCCUGGGAUAACACUGACGCUCAUGCACGAAA